rnacentral:lncRNA from 12 species
GUGGGCUUGUGUGGGCUCAUGGAUGCUGUAGUUAGCAAAGGUGAAUACAAACUCCAGAUCCUGAAAAGCCACCUGAAGAAGAAGAAGAAGUACGCCGCCGGUGACUUCAAGAAAGCCUGAAAUCUAAAACCACCUACAUGUCCUUUCUGAGGUGAUCUCAGGUCUAAAGAGCCCCUCAGACAGUGACAUCUGGCAUCCCUGGGUGGGCUUGUGUGGGCUCAUGGAUGCUGUAGUUAACAAAGGUGAAUACAAACUCCAGAUCCUGAAAAGCCACCUGAAGAAGAAGAAGUACGCCGGUGCAGAAAGCUGCAGAGGAGACACUCUGAACUACUGCCAGAAAAAGCCAGCUACCACACUUGAAUUGGAGGGGAGGCACCCGGGAAUACCUCUCCCUGAGCAUCUGCUGGACAGAAGCCCAGGAAACUCCAGCUUGGAUUUGGCAUCUUUACUUUUUAGGUAAGAC